rnacentral:RNase_P_RNA from 1 species
GAAGCGCACCAGGCCGCCGCUGGCACGAGACCCGAAAGGGUGUGCUGGAGGAACGUCCGGACUGCACAGGACAGCGUAGGAGGUAACACCUCUCCACCGACAAGCCCGAAGAGUUCGCUCCGAGGGCCCUAAGGUGAGGAUCAGAGCAACAGAGACGAGCCGAUUCAGUUCGGGUGAAACGGGCAAUCUCUACGCGCAGCAAUACCAAAUAGGCCAACGUUGACGUGGUUCCGCGGAGUUGGCGGGUAGGUAGCACCGAGCCGGGCGGGCAACCCCCGGCCCAGAUGAAUGGCGGUCACGUCCGGGCCUUCGAAAGAGGGCUCCGGAUGCACAGAAUCCGGCGUAACGGUGCGCUUCACAC